AUGAACGCUGGCGGCGUGCCUAAUACAUGCAAGUCGAACGCACAGCGAAAGGUGCUUGCACCUUUCAAGUGAGUGGCGAACGGGUGAGUAACACGUGGAUAACCUACCUCAAGGUUGGGGAUAACAUUUGGAAACAGAUGCUAAUACCGAAUAAAACUUCGUAUCGCAUGAUACAAGGUUAAAAGGCGCUACGGCGUCACCUAGAGAUGGAUCCGCGGUGCAUUAGUUAGUUGGUGGGGUAAAGGCCUACCAAGACAAUGAUGCAUAGCCGAGUUGAGAGACUGAUCGGCCACAUUGGGACUGAGACAC
rnacentral:rRNA from 1 species